rnacentral:rRNA from 1 species
UACGAAGGGGGCUAGCGUUGCUCGGAAUCACUGGGCGUAAAGCGCACGUAGGCGGACUCUUAAGUCAGAGGUGAAAUCCUGGAGCUCAACUCCAGAACUGCCUUUGAUACUGGGAGUCUCGAGUUCGGGAGAGGUGAGUGGAACUGCGAGUGUAGAGGUGAAAUUCGUAGAUAUUCGCAAGAACACCAGUGGCGAAGGCGGCUCACUGGCCCGAUACUGACGCUGAGGUGCGAAAGCGUGGGGAGCGAACAGG